UAGCAGCACGUAAAUAUUGGUGUUAAAAUGGUCCCAAUAUUAACUGUGCUGCUAGA
rnacentral:pre_miRNA from 1 species